AUACUCUGGUUUCUCUUCAGAUUGUAUAAAUCUUUUGCCUUUUACUAAAGAUUUCCGUGGAGAGGAACAUUUAUGAGUUUCGAUAAUGUGGAUUGAUUAUAUUCAAAAUAAGUAU